UACGGAGGGAGCUAGCGUUGUUCGGAAUUACUGGGCGUAAAGCGCGCGUAGGCGGCUUUGUAAGUUAGAGGUGAAAGCCUGGAGCUCAACUUCAGAAUUGCCUUUAAGACUGCAUCGCUUGAAUCCGGGAGAGGUGAGUGGAAUUCCGAGUGUAGAGGUGAAAUUCGUAGAUAUUCGGAAGAACACCAGUGGCGAAGGCGGCUCACUGGACUGGCAUUGACGCUGAGGUGCGAAAGCUAGGGGAGCAAACAGG
rnacentral:rRNA from 1 species